rnacentral:rRNA from 1 species
GGGAUGGGAUGAGCUUGCGUCCGAUUAGCUAGUUGGCGGGGCAACGGCCCACCAAGGCGACGAUCGGUAGCCGGCCUGAGAGGGUGAUCGGCCACAUUGGGACUGAGAUACGGCCCAGACUCCUACGGGAGGCAGCAGUAGGGAAUAUUGCACAAUGGGGGAAACCCUGAUGCAGCAACGCCACGUGUGGGAAGAAGCAUUUCGGUGUGUAAACCACUGUCGUGAGGGAAUAAGGCGUCUUCUCGGAGGCGUUGAAUGUACCUCGAAAGGAAGCACCAGCAAACUUCGUGCCAGCAGCCGCGGUAAUACGAGGGGUGCAAGCGUUGUUCGGAAUCACUGGGCGUAAAGGGAGCGUAGGCGGAGAUGCAAGCGGACUGUACAAUACCGGGGCCCAACCCCGGGCCUGCAGUUCGGACUGCACCUCUUGGAUAGUUCAGGGGCAGGC